UUGGAAAGUAAAAAAUCGUAACAAGGUUUCCGUAGGUGAACCUGCGGAAGGAUCAUUAAAGAGUAAGGGUGCUCAGCGCCCGACCUCCAACCCUUUGUUGUUAAAACUACCUUGUUGCUUUGGCGGGACCGCUCGGUCUCGAGCCGCUGGGGAUUCGUCCCAGGCGAGCGCCCGCCAGAGUUAAACCAAACUCUUGUUAUUAAACCGGUCGUCUGAGUUAAAAUUUUGAAUAAAUCAAAACUUUCAACAACGGAUCUCUUGGUUCUCGCAUCGAUGAAGAACGCAGCGAAAUGCGAUAAGUAAUGUGAAUUGCAGAAUUCAGUGAAUCAUCGAAUCUUUGAACGCACAUUGCGCCCCUUGGUAUUCCGAGGGGCAUGCCUGUUCGAGCGUCAUUACACCACUCAAGCUAUGCUUGGUAUUGGGUGCCGUCCUUAGUUGGGCGCGCCUUAAAGACCUCGGCGAGGCCUCACCGGCUUUAGGCGUAGUAGAAUUUAUUCGAACGUCUGUCAAAGGAGAGGACUUCUGCCGACUGAAACCUUUUAUUUUUCUAGGUUGACCUCGGAUCAGGUAGGGAUACCCGCUGAACUUAAGCAUAUCAAUAAGCCGGAGGAAGGG
rnacentral:rRNA from 1 species